rnacentral:sRNA from 2 species
GCGGUCGCCGCGCUGAGUCUCGGACCGGUUCACCGGCCCGGGAGCCGGGGAACCAUCGGUGGUUCGGGCCACCUGGGGUGAAUCGCCUCUCGAGGCGUAGGGCAAAUGUCGUGCCCGAACCCGUCAGCUCACCCGGUAGGCGUACGACGUACAAGGA